UCGUGCUAGAUGGGGAGAUAGCGGUGCCCUGUACCCGCAAUCCGCUAUAGCGGGAUUGAAUUCCCAUCCAUAGGGCUUAACACUCUUAUUCGACCAGCGAUAAGUAGCGUUGAUGAUCGGAUUCUGCGCAACGCAGAGUUUCCGAACCCCGUCAGGACCGGAAGGUAGCAGCGGUAGGAAUUUCUCGGUGUGUGCCGCAGAGUGGUCCGAUUGGAGCUAACUGACGCAGGGAAAAUAGGAGGUUGAGGUCGAAGAUGGGUGCACGG
rnacentral:SRP_RNA from 1 species